AUCCAACUUGCCGAUUUAUCACAAAUGUAGAUAAAGUAGAUCCUAAAUUUCUCUAGUCUGCGCACAGACUGUCCCUAAUCCCCCCGUGGUGGAACGAUAUGCGAGCAGACUAAAAUUUCUCUCACACAUGAACUUGAUUUCCUAUGUUGUGCCCAGUAAAGUAUUGAUAAUGUAUACGGGCCAAAUAAUUAAGUGUUUGUUUUAUUAAAGAGUGCCUUGAAAUAGCUAGAAAGGAAGUUUUAUAUAAUCUACUUUUGAAUGAUUGAAUACAGUUUAAUGUGACACUUUAUUGAAACCCAAUUCCCGAAUCAGAGGCCCAAUCUGGCCGGUUAAUAACCUCAAGAUGGUAAUAAAAUUGACAUUGAAAUACAGAUUGAUUUAGCGUGAAUGCCUGAAUGGUCGAUACAUUUGGCAUUCGACAAUUACCAUACCCGAAUUCUGUGAUAAAAUAAAUGAAGUUAAAGCAUUUUGAUUGGUUUGAAAAGCGAAAUACGAAGCAAACGUGUGAAUUCACCGCAUACUUACGCACCAAAUGCAUGUGCAUACAUAAAUACAUUGAUAUACGAAUGAUAUCAAAUGACGCUUGUUGAAUUCGUGUUUAGCCUCUCGAUCUUGUUAUAAUUCCCCCAGCGGCGGUUUCAUUUAACUUCAUCGGUUGAGCCAACGUAUUCCUUUGUCCACCAGGAGGGUAAAAGCGCUUGACCACGGUAGAGGUAUACUUGAGUAGACUGCGUCUCACUGAAUCACACAUCGAUACUUGAGCCAACGUAUUCCUUUGUCCACCAGAAGAGUAAAAGCGCCUGACGAGUUAUAUUUGAAUAAACAUCGUCUCUCUGAAUCAUACAUCAAUACAUCAGCCAAGGUAUUCCUUUGUCCACCAAAAGACUAAAAACGGUUGCCCGCGGCAGAGUUAUAUUUUACUGAUAAACUGCGUCUCAUGCACUGAAUUUCAUAUACGUCAAUACUUGAGCCAACGUAUUCCUUUGUCCACCAGAAGAGUAAAAGUGCUUGCCCGCAGCAGAGCUAUAUUUGAAUAAACUGCGUAUCACUGAAUAAUACUGUGUUACUGACCGUUGUUUUAUAUCCACGAUAUAUCUUUUCCAAAAGUAUAAUUUCGAAGUACUUUGCCGCAGAGGUCAUACAAUUUUGC